UACGUAGGGUGCGAGCGUUGUCCGGAAUUAUUGGGCGUAAAGGGCUCGUAGGCGGUCUGUCACGUCGGGAGUGAAAACUCAGGGCUUAACCCUGAGCCUGCUUCCGAUACGGGCAGACUAGAGGUAUGCAGGGGAGAACGGAAUUCCUGGUGUAGCGGUGAAAUGCGCAGAUAUCAGGAGGAACACCGGUGGCGAAGGCGGGUCUCUGGGCAACAACUGACGCUGAGGAGCGAAAGCGUGGGGAGCGAACAGG
rnacentral:rRNA from 1 species